rnacentral:hammerhead_ribozyme from 1 species
GCACUGCUGAGGAGUCCCAUACUAGGACGAUACGAUUGUCCAGUGC